AAGACUUUAAGUUAAUAAAACUUUUAUCCUUCAAAGCUAAAAAUAAAGAGAAUUUUCUUUAAGUCUUA
rnacentral:tRNA from 1 species